UACAGUGGUGCCUCGCAAGACGAAAAGAAUCCGUUCUGUGAGUCUCUUCGUCUAGCGGUUUUUUCGUCUUGCGAAGCAAGCCCAUUGACGGAUUAGCGGAUUAGCGCUAUUAGUGCUAUUAGCGGCUUUUAGCGGCUUUUAGCGGCUUAUCAUCUUAUCGGAUAAGCAGAUAAGCGGCUUAACGGCUUAGAAAAAGGGGGGGAAAGGGGGAAAAAAACGCAGGAACUCGCAAGACAUUUUCGUCUUGCGAAGCAAGCCCAUAGGAGCUUCGUUUUGCGAAGCACCUCCAAAACGGAAAACUCUUUCGUCUAGCGAGUUUUCCGUCUUGCGAGGCAUUCGUCUUGCGGGGCACCACUGUA